rnacentral:rRNA from 1 species
UACGUAGGGUGCAAGCGUUGCCCGGAUUUAUUGGGCGUAAAGGGCGCGUAGGCGGCUCUGCACGUCCGUUGUGAAAUCGCCCGGCUCAACUGGGCGGGGUCAGCGGAUACGGCAGAGCUUGAGCAAGCUAGGGGGCAAUGGAAUUCCCGGUGUAGUGGUGGAAUGCGUAGAUAUCGGGAGGAACACCGGUGGCGAAGGCGGUUCUCUGGGCCUGUACUGACGCUGAGGAGCGAAAGCGUGGGGAGCGAACAGG